rnacentral:sRNA from 1 species
UGGUCUGGUGGGAUUGAUUGCACCCGAG